GCUGGAGUAGCUCAGUCGGUAGAGCAAUCGCCUCGUAAGCGAUAGGUCAGGGGUUCGAAUCCCCUCUCCAGCUCCG
rnacentral:tRNA from 1 species